rnacentral:rRNA from 1 species
GACGAACGCUGGCGGCGUGCCUAAUACAUGCAAGUAGAACGCUGAAGAGAGGAGCUUGCUCUUCUUGGAUGAGUUGCGAACGGGUGAGUAACGCGUAGGUAACCUGCCUUGUAGCGGGGGAUAACUAUUGGAAACGAUAGCUAAUACCGCAUAACAAUAGGUGACACAUGUCAUUUAUUUGAAAGGGGCAAUUGCUCCACUACAAGAUGGACCUGCGUUGUAUUAGCUAGUAGGUGAGGUAACGGCUCACCUAGGCGACGAUACAUAGCCGACCUGAGAGGGUGAUCGGCCACACUGGGACUGAGACACGGCCCAGACUCCUACGGGAGGCAGCAGUAGGGAAUCUUCGGCAAUGGGGGCAACCCUGACCGAGCAACGCCGCGUGAGUGAAGAAGGUUGUCGGAUCGUAAAGCUCGGUUGUAAGUCAAGAACGAGUGUGAGAGUGGAAAGUUCACACUGUGACGGUAGCUUACCAGAAAGGGACGGCUAACUACGUG